CGGGACGGGUGAGUAACGCGUGGGUAACCUGCCUUGUACUGGGGGACAACAGUUAGAAAUGACUGCUAAUACCGCAUAAGUGCACAGUAUCGCAUGAUACAGUGUGAAAAACUCCGGUGGUACAAGAUGGACCCGCGUCUGAUUAGCUAGUUGGUAAGGUAAGGGCUUACCAAGGCGACGAUCAGUAGCCGACCUGAGAGGGUGACCGGCCACAUUGGGACUGAGACACGGCCCAA
rnacentral:rRNA from 1 species